rfam:Homo sapiens chromosome 9, GRCh38 reference primary assembly.
GCCAGGCAUGGUGACGUGUGCCUGUGGUCCCAGCUACUUGGGAGGCUGAGGUGGGAGGAUUGCUUGAGCCCAGGAGGUCGAGGCUGCUGUGAGCCAUGAUUGUGCCACUGCACUCCAGCCUGGCCUGGGUGACAGAGUGAGACCCUGUCUCAA